GAGGCCUCGUAAGAGGAGUUGAUUUUGAUAGUUCAUCAAAAUGAAAUCAGUGUUGAAGCAAUGACCCAGUGACCUUGCAAGUGGGGUUUACAGUAGGAAAGAUGUGAACUGAAUUUGCCUCUGCUCUGCUUUUAGAGGCACAAGGGUAUGCUUUCACAUGAGUAGACAUGCUAUCUAUGCCACGCAAGCUAUGUUAGUUUGAAUUGACUCAGACUACAUGAAUCCAAACUAGUGUGCUGCAUUCAACGCCUCUGAGAUUUAUUUGGAGUAAAAGAUCUGCGUCAGUCUAUGCACCAGAGCUCUUUUUCUUUCUCUUCCUUCACUCGUCAUGCACAUUUCAAGCUCUAUGGAAAAAUCUUAUGACAAAGCCUUCACAUAUGAAACUAUGAAGAUGAGGAUUGCCUGUUAAAUCUGUCUCAGUUUGGUAGUUUCCAAAAAGAUAAGAAAGGAAGAGUGAGCAGGAAGAAAAGCAGUAAUAGGGAACUCAAAAGACUGAAGAAAGCAAAUGGAAGAAUAUGAGGACACUUUCAGCUCAGCCAACUACAUCCAGUAUGUCCUGUGGCCAGGAAGAAAAGGAAAUUUCUUAAACUAUAUGAAGAAGUACCAUCUCUAAAGAAGU
rnacentral:lncRNA from 1 species